GACGAACGCUGGCGGCGUGCCUAAUACAUGCAAGUAGAACGCUGAAGAGAGGAGCUUGCUCUUCUUGGAUGAGUUGCGAACGGGUGAGUAACGCGUAGGUAACCUGCCUUGUAGCGGAGGAUAACUAUUGGAAACGAUAGCUAAUACCGCAUAACAAUGGAUGACCCAUGUCAUUUAUUUGAAAGGGGCAAAUGCUCCACUACAAGAUGGACCUGCGUUGUAUUAGCUAGUAGGUGAGGUAACGGCUCACCUAGGCGACGAUACAUAGCCGACCUGAGAGGGUGAUCGGCCACACUGGGACUGAGACACGGCCCAGACUCCUACGGGAGGCAGCAGUAGGGAAUCUUCGGCAAUGGGGGCAACCCUGACCGAGCAACGCCGCGUGAGUGAAGAAGGUUUUCGGAUCGUAAAGCUCUGUUGUAAGUCAAGAACGAGUGUGAGAGUGGAAAGUUCACACUGUGACGGUAGCUUACCAGAAAGGGACGGCUAACUACGUG
rnacentral:rRNA from 1 species